GCCCCAACCAUAAUCAUUCUUUUUUGUUUAUCAGCAUUAAUAAAUAUUUCCACCACCCGAUCAUCAUUCAAACAAGCAGGAAGCUCUUGUAAGAAAACUUGCAAACAUGAUGCGGCAAGGAUGGGAGAGUUCUCUUGAAGAGCAAAUUCCAUGAGUUCUACAGCAUCUUCCACCGAGGAAACCAAAGAAGCAAGUUUCCUAUCGCAUGCAUCUUUUAGUCUUUCACAACAGAACUUAUUUGCAAAAGGCAAUAUUUCUAACAAAACAUUUGGAGAGACUUUGUUCAAACUCCCUGUCACACUGAAUUCACUUAUUGCCCUAAAACCUAAA
rnacentral:misc_RNA from 1 species